GUUAACAUCUCACUCAAGGGUUGGCAAGAAAGACACUAAUAAAAGAAGAAGCCAACCUAACCAGAUGAGAAAUGAAAGACAAUUAACUCUGUGAUGCUGUUUUCCUUCUCCUUUCUGGCAUUGAAAGUCAAAUUGAGAUGCAAGUGAAUUCAUUUUUGUUAGCUUCCUUUUCUAUUAGUCCUAGCUCCUGUGCCUUACCGCAAAAGAAACCUCCCUGCCCCAACCUCUUGUACUGAGUUCCAACUGCUUCCCCGAAGUGUCCCACAGUCAGAAGGCUGCUAGCAUCGUCAGAGAUAUGGCCCAGAGUCCACCUAUGGAUUUUCAGGACACACACAGACAACACUCAUCCUUGCACACACCCUUGUGAUAGUCCUUUUUAAGUCCCUCUGUGGUGGUCACAUCACACAUCCCUGGACAGCUGACUCUGAGCAAGAGUCUGAAGACUUCCAUCCCAAGAUGUCCAUACUGGACAGUGGGGAGAUGGAUGGACAUAAGCUAUUGUUCUGACAAGAAGAGGGCAAGACAGACCAAAGCACUGAGUCAUAAAGGCAAAGUUCAAGCUGAGAAAUUCCAGAGCCUUAGCUUCUGGUCUGGUGCUACAGUCUCAAAAUUAGGAAGAAAGUGGACACAUGGGCAGCUUGCUAUGUCCCAGUCGCUGUGAUGCAUGCUUUCCUAAACUUCAGUGUGUUCAAUCCUACUAACAACCUGCAUUUUCUGAUGAGGAAGCUGAUGUUUAGGGGAAGGGUUUGCCCAUGUCAUGAACAUCCACUGAGGUCACCAGAGUCCCACACCUGAACUCAGAAAAGAAGCACCAGGCACUAACGUGACCAAGGAAAAUCAUUCUCUUUCUUGUAAAAUACUAUAAUCUAUGUUAUCUGUAACAUACCCAGACUUCAGAGAGGAUGGAGGAAAAGCUGGAGCAGCAGCAACUUGGCUCCAGAAAUUGGUUACAAAGCAGAAAUCCAGAUGUUUUCUUUUUUCUCUCUCUAAACAUCAAAUCGGGCGGCAGCUUGCAACACUCUGUGUGGCCCAGCUGAAGAAAUUCUAAACAUUGCUUCAAGGAUCUAACUCACAACUCAUCUUAAACCAUCACAAGAAGACUCCCAUUAGAGAGGGAGUGGGGAAGUGUGUGUUAAUGAGCUGAAGUGAGAGAAUGGGUAUGAAUAAGCAGAAGCGUGAAUACAGCAUACGAGGCAAAUGAAAUAAUCACCCAGCUUACCAUUGUUACAACGCAAUAAAUUUAAUGUAAUUCCUAAAGGCCAA